UCUAAGCCAUGCGAGUCAWUGUAGCAAUACAAGGCAGACGGCUCAGUAACGCGUAGUCAAUCUACCCUAUGGACGGGAAUAACCUCGGGAAACUGAGAAUAAUGCCCGAUAGAACAUUAUGCCUGGAAUGGUUUAUGUUUCAAAUGAUUUAUCGCCAUAGGAUGGGACUGCGGCCUAUCAGUUUGUUGGUGAGGUAAUGGCCCACCAAGACUAUUACAGGUACGGGCUCUGAGAGGAGUAGCCCGGAGAUGGGUACUGAGACACGGACCCAGGCCCUAUGGGGCGCAGCAGGCGAGAAAACUUUGCAAUGUGCGAAAGCACGACAAGGUUAAUCCGAGUGGUUUCUGCUAAAGAAACCUUUUGUCAGUCCUAGAAACACUGACGAAUAAGGAGUGGGCAAGUUCUGGUGUCAGCCGCCGCGGUAAAACCAGCACCUCAAGUGGUCAGGAUGAUUAUUGGGCCUAAAGCAUCCGUAGCUCGUUUUGUAAGUUUUCGGUUAAAUCCAUGCGCUUAACGUAUGGGCUGCCGGGAAUACUGCAUAACUAGGAAGUGGGAGAGGUAGACGGUACCCGGUAGGAAGGGGUAAAAUCCUUUGAUCUAUUGAUGACCACCUGUGGCGAAGGCGGUCUACCAGAACACGUUCGACGGUGAGGGAUGAAAGCUGGGGGAGCAAACCGGAUUAGAUACCCGGGUAGUCCCAGCUGUAAACUAUGCAAACUCAGUGAUGCAUUGGCUUGUGGCCAAUGCAGUGCUGCAGGGAAGCCGUUAAGUUUGCCGCCUGGGAAGUACGUACGCAAGUAUGAAACUUAAAGGAAUUGGCGGGGGAGCACCACAAGGGGUGAAGCCUGCGGUUCAAUUGGAGUCGACGCCAGAAAUCUUACCCGGAGAGACAGCAGAAUGAAGGUCAAGCUGAAGACUUUACCAGACAAGCUGAGAGGUGGUGCAUGGCC
rnacentral:rRNA from 1 species